GGGAACCUUGGCUCAGGAUUUUUUCUUAGUGUACAGUCAACUGCUUAGUGUUACCCAACAAAGCUGAUGUCAACGGCAAGCACAGCUGCUCCCAAAUGGUCCAUGGCUUUCUCAGCCAGAGAACACAGUCCUGGUUUGAUUGAUCAAGAAACAAAAAAUUCAAUGUUGCAGCUACAAGACUGCAAGUUGAUCCUCAAAAUUUCACCUAAGAGUAUACCUGAUUUUUCUGCACCAACCAUAAAGACAGAUUUCCUCAGCUGGACAAGCCACACAGUUCAUACCGUCUGUGGAGAUCACAAUUGAAUCAGUAUGUUGAUGGACUCAAUUCACUGUAGUAUAAAAGCAAAAUAACUUGCUUCAGCUUUGACCUCUCUCUAUGCCCAGCUGAUCCUGAGAAUCCUGUUUCUGCAUUAUAUAAA